GACGAACGCUGGCGGCGCGCCUAACACAUGCAAGUCGAACGGAGUUAUUCUGAAUGAAGUUUUCGGAUGGAUUUUGGAUUAACUUAGUGGCGAAACGGGUGAGUAACGCGUGAGUAACCUGCCCUGGAGUGGGGGACAACAGUUGGAAACGACUGCUAAUACCGCAUAAGCCCACGGUGCCGCAUGGCACAGCGGGAAAAAGGAUUUUAUUCGCUCCAGGAUGGACUCGCGUCCAAUUAGCUAGUUGGUGAGGUAACGGCCCACCAAGGCGACGAUUGGUAGCCGGACUGAGAGGUUGAACGGCCACAUUGGGACUGAGACACGGCCCAGACUCCUACGGGAGGCAGCAGUGGGGGAUAUUGCACAAUGGGGGAAACCCUGAUGCAAGCGACGCCGCGUGGAGGAAGAAAGGUUUUCGGAUUGUAAACUUCUAAUCAGCAGGGAAGAAAAUGACGGUACCUGACCUAAGAAGCCCCGGCUAACUACGUGCCAGCCGCCGCCGUAA
rnacentral:rRNA from 1 species